rnacentral:rRNA from 1 species
AGCCAAGCUGAAUCCCGAGUAGCACGGAGCCCGUGAAAGUCCGUGUGAAUCCGCCUCGACCACGAGGUAAGGCUAAAUACUCCUGUGUGACCGAUAGAGAAACAGUACCGUGAGGGAAAGGUGAAAAGAACCCCGGGAGGGGAGUGAAAUAGAACCUGAAACCGUCAGCUUACAAGCAGUGGGAGUCCGAUUAAACGGAUGACCGCGUGCCUGUUGAAGCAUGAGCCGGCGAGUUAAAGGCGAUGGCAGGUUAAGACCGAAGAGGUCGAAGCCCAAGCGAAAGCGAGUCUGAACAGGGCGAAGUCGUCAUCGUUUUUAGACCCGAACCCGGGUGAUCUAACCAUGUCCAGGAUGAAGCUUGGGUAAAACCAAGUGAAGGUCCGAACCGACCGAUGUUGAAAAAUCGGCGGAUGAGGUGUGGUUAGGGGUGAAAUGCCAAUCGAACCCGGAGCUAGCUGGUUCUCCCCGAAAUGUGUUGAGGCACAGCGGUUGCGGAAAAAUCUGGGGGGUAAAGCACUGAUUCGGUGCGGGCUGCGAGAGCGGUACCAAAUCGAGUCAAACUCUGAAUACCCAGAGGAAAGCAACCAGUCAGACGGUGGGGGAUAAGCUCCAUCGUCAAGAGGGAAACAGCCCAGACCACCAGCUAAGGUCCCGAAAUCAUCACUAAGUGAGAAAGGAGGUGGGAAUGCAGAGACAACCAGGAGGUUUGCCUAGAAGCAGCCAACCUUAAAAGAGUGCGUAAUAGCUCACUGGUCAAGCGUUGCUGCGCCGAAAAUGAAAGGGGCUAAGUGAUGUACCGAAGCUGUGGAAUAUGAUUGUAUUGUAUUGGUAGGGGAGCGUUCUGGCGUAGGGAGAAGCAUUAGCGGAAGCAGAUGUGGACGAACCAGAAGUGAGAAUGUCGGCUUGAGUAGCGAAAAUCUUGGUGAGAAUCCAAGACCCCGAAAUCCUAAGGGUUCCUCCGCACGGCUCGUCCACGGAGGGUAAGUCAGGGCCUAAGGCGAGGCUGAAGAGCGUAGUCGAUGGACAACGGGUGAAGAUUCCCGUACCAUUGGUAAAUGGGUCAGGGGGACGGAGAAGGUGUGUGCUAGCCGGA